rnacentral:rRNA from 1 species
CAGCAGCAGCCACGGUAAUACGUAGGUGGCAAGCGUUGUCCGGAAUUAUUGGGCGUAAAGGGCUCGCAAGCGGUUUCUUAAGUCUGAUGUGAAAGCCCCCGGCUCAACCGGGGAGGGUCAUUGGAAACUGGGAAACUUGAGUGCAGAAGAGGAGAGUGGAAUUCCACGUGUAGCGGUGAAAUGCGUAGAGAUGUGGAGGAACACCAGUGGCGAAGGCGACUCUCUGGUCUGUAACUGACGCUGAGGAGCGAAAGCGUGGGGAGCGAACAGGAUUAGAUACCCGAGUAGUCCCUGUCUCUUAUAC